UACGUAGGGGGCAAGCGUUGUCCGGAAUCAUUGGGCGUAAAGAGCGUGUAGGCGGCCCGAUAAGUCCGCUGUGAAAGUCCAGGGCUCAACCCUGGAAUGCCGGUGGAUACUGUCGGGCUCGAAUCCGGAAGAGGUGAGUGGAAUUCCUGGUGUAGCGGUGAAAUGCGCAGAUAUCGGGAGGAACACCAAUGGCGAAGGCAGCUCGCUGGGACGUGACUGACGCUGAGACGCGAAAGCGUGGGGAGCAAACAGG
rnacentral:rRNA from 1 species